UCGAGCGCGAAAGGGGGGGGCAACUCCCCCGAGUAGAGCGGCGCACGGGUGAGUAACGCGUGGGUAACCUACCCCCCGGCGGGGGAUAACUACUCGAAAGGGUGGCUAAUACCGCAUGAGACCACGGGGUCCCCGGACCCUGAGGCCAAAGGUCGCUUCGGCUUGCCGGAGCGAUCACCGGAGGAUGGGCCCGCGUCCGAUUAGCUAGUUGGUGAGGUAACGGCUCACCAAGGCUACGAUCGGUAGCUGGUCUGAGAGGAUGAUCAGCCACACUGGAACUGGAACACGGUCCAGACUCCUACGGGAGGCAGCAGUGAGGAAUAUUGCGCAAUGGGGGAAACCCUGACGCAGCAACGCCGCGUGGGUGAAGAAGGCCUUCGGGUCGUAAAGCCCUUUCGGACGGGACGAACGCUCCGCGGUGACAACCCGCGGAGUCUGACGGUACCGUAGGAAGAAGCACCGGCUAACUCCGUGCCAGCAGCCGCGGUAAUACGGAGGGUGCAAGCGUUGUUCGGAAUUACUGGGCGUAAAGCGCGUGUAGGCGGCCUUGCAAGCCAGACGUGAAAGCCCCCGGCUUAACCGGGGAAGUGCGUCUGGAACUGCUCGGCUCGAGUACGGGAGAGGGAGGCGGAAUUCCCAGUGUAGAGGUGAAAUUCGUAGAUAUUGGGAGGAACACCGGUGGCGAAAGCGGCCUCCUGGACCGAUACUGACGCUGAGACGCGAAAGCGUG
rnacentral:rRNA from 1 species